UGUGGGAGCGGGCUUGCUCGCGAAUGCGGUGGGUCAGUUACACAUUUACCGACUGACACCCUGCAUUCGCGAGCAAGCCCGCUCCCACA
rnacentral:misc_RNA from 1 species